CAUCCUCAGCCUUACUCCAGGGGCUUUUGCUUGUAAAGUGCCUUGGCAUUGCCUGAGGAGAUAUGAGAAAAGCACAUCUCCCUCCCCAGCAAGACUCUGCUUUCUUGUGGGGCCUACAGACUGUGCUGACAGG
rnacentral:snoRNA from 1 species